GCCUCGGUAGCUCAGUCUUGUAGAGCGGCGGCCUCGUAAGCCGCAGGCCCCGGGAUCAAAGCCCGGCCGAGGCU
rnacentral:tRNA from 1 species